GCGUCCGUAGCUCAGUUGGUUAGAGCGCCACCUUGACAUGGUGGGGGUCGUUGGUUCGAGUCCAAUUGAACGCACCA
rnacentral:tRNA from 1 species